UGCCUACGGGGGGCAGCAGUGGGGAAUAUUGCACAAUGGGGGAAACCCUGAUGCAGCAACGCCGCGUGAGUGAAGAAGUAUCUCGGUAUGUAAAGCUCUAUCAGCAGGGAAGAAGAUGACGGUACCUGACCAAAAAGCCCCGGCUAACUACGUGCCAGCAGCCGCGGUAAUACGUAGGGGGCAAGCGUUAUCCGGAUUUACUGGGUGUAAAGGGGGCGCAGACGGCAAUGCAAGCCAGGAGUGAAAGCCCGGGGCCCAACCCCGGGACUGCUCUUGGAACUGCAUGGCUGGAGUACAGGAGGGGG
rnacentral:rRNA from 1 species